UGGGGAAUUUUCCGCAAUGGGCGAAAGCCUGACGGAGCAAUGCCGCGUGGAGGUGGAAGGUCCUACGGGUCGUCAACUUCUUUUCUCGGAGAAGAAACAAUGACGGUAUCUGAGGAAUAAGCAUCGGCUAACUCUGUGCCAG
rnacentral:rRNA from 1 species